rnacentral:rRNA from 1 species
CCCUUAGAUGUUCUGGGCCGCACGCGCGCUACACUGAUGCAUUCAACGAGUUUCUUCCUGGUCCGAGAGGAAUGGGUAACCUUUUGAAAGUGCAUCGUGAUAGGGAUAGACUAUUGCAAUUAUUGGUCUUCAACGAGGAAUUCCUAGUAGACGUAGUUCAUCAGACUGCAUCGAUUACGUCCCUGCCCUUUGUACACACCGCCCGUCGCUCCUACCGAUUGAAUGCUCAGGUGAGCCAUUCGGACUUUCAUCAUGCUGGUUUCCAGUUUUGAUGAAGGAAAGUCUUGCGAACCUUAUCAUUUAGAGGAAGGAGAAGUUGUAACA